rnacentral:pre_miRNA from 1 species
AGCUGGAAGUAGGGGUCUCGACAUCAGAAUUAUUUGAAGAUAUGUCAGAUCUAACUCUUCCAGCUCA